UAGAAGAGAGAGAAAUGAUAAAAUAAUUUGAGUGAGGUUUAAAGUAAGAGAGAGAAAUAAUAAAAUAUAGUAUAACUUUACCAAAUAUAGAAAUGAUGCAUAUAAAAAAAAACAUCCAUUAAAAGAAAAGUGAUGCAUAUAAAAAUAAAAAGGAAGGAAUAUAUUUGAUUUGUCAGUGCACCAAAAAAAAAUAUUGAUUUGUUAGUUAUUUUACAUUACUCCACUACUCAAACCCUAUCCCUCAUACUUUUUUUAUUUACAACUCUACCGCCUCCUCUUCUUUAUUCUCUCUCUUAAAAUACCGCUUCUCUUCUUCCAUUGAAAUUCAUUUGUUUGUUUUGUGAAUUUAUUUACUAAAAUUUACACCAUUGAUCCUCCUUAUGCUUCCUUAAUCCCCUUGUGCCAAGGAAUUGCCACAGAUGACUUCGAAAACGAAAAUGACAUCGUUGACGAAAUUGACAGCGUAAGUUCUAUUACUUGGAGAUUCUGCUAAGGUCUUGAAGCAAAGAAGCUCUUCAAUCUCAUUCUCGUGCCUACAAAUUUGGUUCGCUGAUCUACUGUACAACAAUUUCAAAAUUUAAAGUUGGUUUCUAGGAUUCUAAAGUGUAGCAAUAAAAUUUUAAUAUAGAUUAUGUAUUUUUUUAGGUUUUUGUUUUCAUUUUGUGAUAUGUAUUAGCUAAAUCGAAAUUUUAAUUUCUUCGUCACUCCAUACUUUGUAAACUCUCAAUUGAAAUUUUAAUGCAUAAAUUCUCUUAUUUUAGAUUUA